rnacentral:rRNA from 1 species
CAAUGGCGUAUAUUAAAGUUGUUGCAGUUAAAAAGCUCGUAGUUGAAUUUCGGGUCCCCGCGCUCGGCGCUUCAUUGUGCCGUCGUGGUGUCCCUCCUCGCCGUAAGGCGUCCUUUACUGUGAAAAAAUUAGAGUGUUCAAAGCAGGCAAUCGCUUGAAUACAUUAGCAUGGAAUAAUAAGAUAGGAUCUUGUCUAUUUUGUUGGUUGCGGACAACGAUAAUGAUUAAUAGGGAUAGUUGGGGGUGUCCGUAUUGAGCUGUCAGAGGUGAAAUUCUUGGAUUUGCUCAAGACGAACUACUGCGAAAGCAUUCACCAAGGAUGUUUUCAUUAA